GACGAACGCUGGCGGCGUGCUUAACACAUGCAAGUCGAACGGAAAGGCCCUGCUUUUGUGGGGUGCUCGAGUGGCGAACGGGUGAGUAACACGUGAGUAACCUGCCCUUGACUUUGGGAUAACUUCAGGAAACUGGGGCUAAUACCGGAUAGGAGCUCCUGCUGCAUGGUGGGGGUUGGAAAGUUUCGGCGGUUGGGGAUGGACUCGCGGCUUAUCAGCUUGUUGGUGGGGUAGUGGCUUACCAAGGCUUUGACGGGUAGCCGGCCUGAGAGGGUGACCGGCCACAUCGGGACUGAGAUACGGCCCAGACUCCUACGGGAGGCAGCAGUGGGGAAUAUUGCACAAUGGGCGGAAGCCUGAUGCAGCAACGCCGCGUGCGGGAUGACGGCCUUCGGGUGGUAAACCGCUUUCGCCUGUGACGAAGCGUGAGUGACGGUAAUGGGUAAAGAAGCACCGGCUAACUACGUG
rnacentral:rRNA from 1 species